UUUAUAUGUGAGUGGAGUUUUAGUUAACCAACAAACACAUAUAUAAAACCAACCAUACAUAUUAACAUGGAUCGGAGGGUUGACCCCCGAAUUUGUUGACCAAAUUAAUGUGUCUGAUUUGACGGCGAUGGCUUCGGCUGACCAAAUUAUACAUUCCCCGCGAUCCCGAGGAGGUCGAUGUUUGGUCCGAGUCUAUCUAAGCUAUAUUUUUAAUAUGGACUUACGUUGAAUUCAUUUCUUGCAUU
rnacentral:lncRNA from 1 species